rnacentral:rRNA from 1 species
GUAGGUGGCAAGCGUUGUCCGGAAUUAUUGGGCGUAAAGCGCGCGCAGGCGGUUCUUUAAGUCUGAUGUGAAAGCCCACGGCUCAACCGUGGAGGGUCAUUGGAAACUGGAGAACUUGAGUACAGAAGAGGAAAGCGGAAUUCCACGUGUAGCGGUGAAAUGCGUAGAGAUGUGGAGGAACACCAGUGGCGAAGGCGGCUUUCUGGUCUGUAACUGACGCUGAGGCGCGAAAGCGUGGGGAGCAAACAGGAUUAGAUACCCUGGUAGUCCACGCCGUAAACGAUGAGUGCUAAGUGUUAGGGGGUUUCUGCCCCUUAGUGCUGCAGCUAACGCAUUAAGCACUCCGCCUGGGAGUACGGCCGCAAGGCUG